CUGUCAUAACAUUUCAGCACUGCAAGCUUAAAGACACAGCAUCCUUUACUCCGAGGUCUUGGGAGCCGGCCUCCAUCUGUGAAGACAUGCAGCUAAGAGAACAGGGAAAGGUGGAAAAGAAAGACCCAGCAGUCACCAUCUCCUAUGCUGCUGUGCUGUUGUUUUUUUAAAGUUAUCCACAUAUCUGUAAAGGCACCAGAUCCCAUCUGAUCUUGGCAGGCAUGGUCCUGGUUAGUAUUUGGAAGGGACUCCACUAAGGAAUACCAGGCUAAAAGUGAAGAAGCUGAUCGAAUAUCACUUGGGGAUAGAGUUCCACAGCCGAGGGGCCACCACUGAGAAGGCCCUGUCUCUCGUCCCCAUCAACUGUGCCUGAGAAGAAGGUGGGACCGAGAGCAGGGCCUCCCUAGAAGAUCUUACUCUCCAUGAUGGUUCAUAGAAGGAGAUACGUUUGGAUAGGAAAACUGGGCUGGAACAGUUUAAUAUGAAUUUGUUAAUUUUUCCUAUGUAUGGAGACACCCUGUAUUAUAUGAGGCAAAAGACCUUGCUUCUCAACUUUUAUAGAAUCACAAAUGUAUGCUAUGUCUGUACGCUAUAAUCAAGAUAAAAUGGUUAAAUGUAUGGUCUUGUUGAUACCUUCUACUCUUCCACAAUUAGCUGUGAAUUAAAGAAAUCUUAUUAACAAUUUCAA